rnacentral:rRNA from 1 species
CCUACGGGUGGCAGCAGUGAGGAAUAUUGGUCAAUGGGCGGGAGCCUGAACCAGCCAAGUCGCGUGAGGGAAGACGGUCCUAUGGAUUGUAAACCUCUUUAGGCGGGGAGCAAUGCCGGGCACGCGGUCCCGGAGGGAGAGUACCCGCAGAAUAAGCAUCGGCUAACUCCGGGCCAGCAGCCGCGGUAAUACUGAGGCUGCGAGCGUUAUCCGGAUGUAUUGGGUUAAAGGGGUGCGAAGGCGGAUUUUUAAGUCAGCGGUAAAAUGUCCGGGCUCAACCCGGGCCGGCCGUUGAAACUGGUGAUCUUGAGUGGGCGAGAGGUAUGCGGAAUGCGUGGUGUAGCGGUGAAAUGCGUAGAUAUAACGCAGAACACCGAUUGCGAAGGCAGCAUACCGGCGCCCGACUGACGCUGAGGCACGAAAGCGUGGGGAGCGAACAAGAUUAGAUACCCGAGUAGUC